GUGAGUGCAGUGUUGUGAGGAGGGUAAAGGGAUGGCGAGGAUGAGUGAAGGAAGCUGCUGAGCUGGGAAAGGAGUGGCAAGCGUCCAAUGCAAAUGGGGGGUAGGGUGGGGCCAUAGAGUGCUUUACAAAGAUUGUGGUGGAAAUGGGCUGUUGAGCAUAGAUGGUGGGGAAUUACCCAGGGAACAUGUCUUUGCUGAAGGUUGAGGUUCAGGGGAGCGACAUGAUUGGAUCCAUGUCAUAGGCAGCAGGUUGUGGUGGUGUGUGGAAGAUGGAGGGAACGGGGGAAACAGUGAGAGGCAGGGAGCCAGGUGAGGAACCUGCUCCCACAUCCUGGGCAAGAGGUGUCAGAGCAGGUGUCCAGGAGGAGGUGGCUCAAGACUUCUCAAGGGGCUUGUUGGCCGAUUGGAUGUGGCAGAUGAAUAAAUCAAGGCACAGAGAAGUUACAGGACUUGGCCAAGGAGAGAUACAGGUGGUGGAACAGAGAUUCAAACUCAGGAAUCGUUUUGGGCAAGGACCAAAGCUAAUUCUACUUUCUGGACUGAGUUUACUUCAUCUCAGCAACCAUGAAGCAUCAAGAUGGUGUUCUCUCCCUACCUCCAACCCAUAUAAGGGCUGCACCCACAUCCUUAUAGAGGCAAAGAACACAUAUAUUUCUCCAGCAAUGUAGUAAAUGUUAAAGCUUGUUUUAUGAGGAAAUCCUUAACUGUAAUCUGAUUCCCACAUGAUAACAUAUUGCAAAUUACUAGUAAAUGCUCUUUUCACUAAUCUGCAAACUGAUUCUUGCUCUCAACAAGUGAGUCAUUAGUAGAAAAGAA
rnacentral:lncRNA from 1 species